rnacentral:lncRNA from 1 species
UCGGGCGGAGGUGAACGACGCUGCUCUGGUGUAUGGAAAUCAGCCUCGUGCUCCUGCUCGUCAUCGCCAGCCUGCUCGCCAUCGCCACCCUGUUGAUAGAAUCAAAAAUAUAAAUCAUUAGUCCGUAUAUAUAUAUGUGAGAAUUAACAAACUAGUCUUAAUUGAAAAACAUAAACAAUAAGAAUACCUGAGUAGGUGGGGGCGGACGAAAAGCCUCCUCCAAGAGGGUAAUCACCAUCCGGAGCAUCUCGGCGCUCCAAGCGUCGAACUACUCCCGUGGUAAUCCUGUACUCUCUGCAGAGGCCCCUGUUAUAAUAUCCUGAGCAAUCUGGUGAAGACGAGAACUGGAAGG